rnacentral:lncRNA from 1 species
UUCCCGAUCCAGCGAAUAAGGGGUUUCCUUGAACCCAGGAAACACUAAUCACCCCUACACAAGCCUAGUAUGGGCGGGUUACGCACAUACUGUCGGCACCACUCACACAACACAAACUCAAUCUAGAACCUAACCUAAGGCUAAAGUUCCAGAUCCUAACUAGACACUCGACUCUACAACACAAACCAAUAGUACCAGUAGUCCGGCCUAUAUGGCCUAAGACCCUUACUACUAACUACUAAACAAUAAUAUCAAUACUAAACAACACAAUCAAAC